CCAAUAUUUUUUUUUAGGGCCUAAGUAGUAAUAGUUAUGUUCUCAAAAUUUGAAAAAUUUGGCGGUGAUUUAGUCUAGUCAGAGGAACCUGUUUUUGAAUCGAUAAACCACGAAUAAUCUUGCUCGAAUUUGUAGAGUAUGUAUACCAUCAUUAUUAGGUAAUUUUUAUAGAACUAAUUGCUGAAAUUUUUAAUAAUGUUAAAUAUAUUAGAUCAAGGUGCAGCUUAUGUUUGAGUUAAAAUGGGUUACAAUAAGAUUUAUUUAUUACGGAUAGGUAAUUUAAAUAUUACUUGGAAGGAGGAUUUGAUUGUAAAAUAAGUUUAACAUGCUUAUUAGAUAUAAGCUCUAAAUCAUGUACACACCGCCCGUCACCCUCCAA
rnacentral:rRNA from 1 species